AGCUUUUCUCAGUAGCAGUAUCGUCGCUUAUGAGGUUUAUCCGAAGCACGAUUAUUGCUUAUUCGAAACUAUCCCCAAUAGCGCACUGUGCCAACUUGCAAUCCAGUCAGUCAGGGCAAUUUUUAAUGGACUCUCCGGAGA